ACGUAGGGUGCGAGCGUUAAUCGGAAUUACUGGGCGUAAAGCGUGCGCAGGCGGUUCGCUAAGACAGGUGUGAAAUCCCCGGGCUUAACCUGGGAAUGGCGCUUGUGACUGGCGGGCUGGAGUACGGCAGAGGGGGGUGGAAUUCCACGUGUAGCAGUGAAAUGCGUAGAGAUCGGGAGGAACACCAGUGGCGAAAGCGGCACCCUGGCAUUGGCCUGACGCUGAGGUGCGAAAGCGUGGGGAGCAAACGG
rnacentral:rRNA from 1 species